UACGGGGGGAGCAAGCGUUGUUCGGAUUUACUGGGCGUAAAGGGCGUGUAGGCGGCCACCGCAAGUCGACUGUGAAACCUCCGGGCUUAACUCGGAAAGGUCAGCCGAUACUGCGGGGCUAGAGCGCAGAAGGGGCAACUGGAAUUCUCGGUGUAGCGGUGAAAUGCGUAGAUAUCGAGAGGAACACCUGCGGCGAAGGCGGGUUGCUGGGCUGACACUGACGCUGAAACGCGAAAGCUAGGGGAGCGAACGGG
rnacentral:rRNA from 1 species